GAAGAAGAAGAAGAGGAUGCUGAAGAGGGGGAGAGUGCUUGCCGCGAGCUCAGUUCCGCUCCGGUGGAGCAGAGCGGCAAGGUGCUCAAGAGAGGUCAGGUAGGGGUCCGGGAGUAGCAGGGGGAGGUUGGCCGAGGUGAGGUGCGAUGUGGCUGUCGCGGAGAAGCCUGCUAGGGAGGAGCCGAGGAGGUGACCGAGGAGAAGUUCGAGUAGCACGUGAAGGUGAGACAUGGACACCAUUCAUAUAUGUAAUUCAAGUUGUUUCAGAUGGGAUUUGUCAAUCAGUGUUGUUAGGAUUUUCAGGAGAACAAAGACCUUGGGGCUGACAACACUCUAAUUGGUCAGUUUGGUGUUGGAUUUUACUCAGCUUUUCUUGUAGCAGAGAAGGUUGUGGUGUCCACUAAGAUCUCAAAAUCAGAUAAACAAUAUGUGUGGGAAGCCGUGGCUGACAGUAGAUCUUAUGUCAUUAAGGAGUAGACUGACUCCGAGACUUCUAUAGCCUGAUGAUUAGUAUGAGUUUGCAGACCCUUCAAGGAUUCAAGGCUUAGUUAAGAACUACUCUCAGUUUGUAUCUUCCCCCAUAUACAUGUGGCAGGAGAAAUCAAGAACUGUUGAGGUUUUUUCCUUGCUCUUGUUGAUUUGUAUUGAAUUGGCUGCUCCACUUGAUUUGUUGAUUUGUAUUCUUUCUGCACUGGUAUGUGGCUCUCCUCAUUGCAUUCUUUGUCAAAGUCACUUACAUUGAUAAUAUCUUCAUUCUCUUCAUAACUUGUCUGCAAAAUAUUGUUAAAGUUAAAAUAUUUCCAUCAACGAUAAGAUAAACUGCAAAUUAUAUGUCCCUUAGAGUACCUGAUUAUUUGAAAUUUUUGGAUUGCUGAUCUUAUCUGAUGUUGUUUCACAGUUCAACUUUCUCUUUUUUUAAUUUUCGAGCAGUUUGAUGAUUUCUAUUUUCACCAAUUUCCCUUUGUUGUUCCUACAAAAACAUAUCAAAAAUAUUAUACAAUUACAUAUUGACUAAUAAAUAUGAAAUAUGAUGUUAUGUUUCUUUGGCGUACUUCAUUGUUAUAACAAUCUGAUUCCCUCUGCAUGUAAAUGUCAUCCUGUAAUCAAUAGUAAAGAAGCAUUGUUAGUGUUAUUUGUAAUUAUGAAAAAAUAAACUAAUAUGUAAAAUGGCUGAAUAUUUGAAAUUAUUGUCUACAAUGCAACCUUUCUUUCUUUAUGUUUUCCGUGGAAAAUAUUUUUCUUUGACCUUUUGGCUGACUUCAAGAUAACUUGAUUAUCAUCCCUUAGAAAUUCAGAAUCAUCGAUGCCUUCUUCCUACAAAUAAAACACACGCACACAUAGACAAAAAUACUUGUUAAAUUCUAAAUACCUAUUAAAGCAACAUGUAAAAUGAAAAUGUUAUUUAUUCUGGUACCUCAUUAGUUGAAGAUUUUGCUUCCAUCACAACCACUGAACCUUUUCUUUUUCCAUACACAACUUUCCUUAAUUUUUUUUCUGCCUUUUUGAAUCUUUGUUACCAUCCUUUACCAUUUCACCAACAUUUUGUUCUGCAACAACACGUUUCUUUUUUUCCCUGUUUAUCUUUUUGGCCAAUCUUAUUUCCUCAACUUGAUUAUUCGAAAAUUUCAAUUCAAGCUCAUCAAUCUUUUUGGCCACUCUUGUGCCGAUCUUAAUGGAUUUUUCUAAUUCAACUUUCUUUUUGGAAUGAUUGUAUUCAACGUCUAAAGCUUCAUCAACUUGAGGUCUUCUCCUUAACAAUUUUCCAUCAUCAAUCUUACUUUUUUUGCUACAAACUGUAAUAUUAUUUUCUUCUUCAUCUGAGUCAUCUUCGACAAUCAUUACUCUCUGUCUUCUUUGAUUGACAUCCUUGAGUUUCUUCGAUGAUGAAAAUUUUCCUUUACAUUUAUUGUAAUCCAUGUUGCUUAUAUCGCUAUCUUCCAAUAAUUCAACAUGUGUCACUAUGUGUGAAGUCUUUAUGGUUGGUGAAUUCUUGAUGUUUAGUUCCUGCUAAGCAAAACAAUCAGAAAAGACAUAAGGAAAAUGAAUUAAAAAUAGAAAAAAAAAUCGCCCAUUACCUCUUCAUUUUUCUUUGUUGAAUAUUCCAAUUCAAGCUUUUUGUCGGGUACAAAUGUUCUUUUAACUAAAUAGUAUGCUUUUCCUUCAGUCAAAUUCUGGUUGCUGAGUUUGAAUCGAAAAAUAAAUGAUUUUCCACAUAACUCAUGUAUAAUCUGUGGAACUUCUUCAGAUUUUCCAUUAUGUAAAUCUAGCAAAUCCGUGAUGGUUGUCUUGAGCAUUCUUCGUGCUUCAUCGUCAAAUAUACUACAGGUGGUAGUUGCAGUGUGAUCACUAAUUUGGAGUUGGAUCCAAUACCUAACAUAACAUGAAUGUUAGGGCUAUGAAAUAAAAAUAUUUAAAAAAUUUAGUACAGUAUCAAUACCUAGGAGUUGUUGUUUCUGGUUCUAAAUUGCAUUUAUUGCAAUAAUACUUGUUCUCUAUCUUAAUACACAUUUUGUUGCAAACUUUGCAUGACAUGUACCACCAAGAAUAAUUAUCUAAUUUAUCAAUCGUAGCUCUUGACGUAAAUACAAAAUCCUACAAUGUGAAAAUCAGAUGUUAGUCUUUUAAAUAUUUUAAAAUAUGAUGCACAUUAAAUCAAUAUAAAAAACAGAUAUAUGAACUCUAUGUUGUACCUGAUCUGUUGGGUUGUCAUGUCUCAUUUGUGUAAUUUCCAAUAAAGUUCUUCUGUUAUAAAACAUUUGCUCUUUUAUUGUACCUUGUGUACUUUUAUCUACCUCCAUCAAUUUUGCUACAUUUUCUUCAUUUUGGAGACUAUAAAAUAUAAAGCAUUAGGACAAAAUAAAAAAAAAUUAGCUGUGCAUUGAAACUUGGAAAAAAAGACAUCAUUUCACAUACCUGUCAAUAAGCUCCAAAGUUUUUGGUAUAUCUAGAUUUGUAUAUAAUCUUGUGCCAUUGCCUGAUUUUAGAAAUAGCAUGUCUAUUUUUAAAAAUAUUAAUAUGUUAGUGUUUCUAAAUUUGCAAAUAUAAUGAUACAUAGUAAAUAAAUUGAAAAUACCUUGAAGUCCAUCCACCAUUGUUGAUGUAACUAUUAAGACUGUUUGCUUCCCAAUAAGAUCUUCAGUCAAAGAAUGAGCUAAGUUCCCCCAUAAUGUUAUCCUGACUUUAUGAUCCUGAAAUUUUGGUGCAAUAUUAUACAAUUUUUAUUUUAAAUUGCAAACAAUCAAUCACAUCAUUUCCAAUAAAAUAAGAAUGAAGACAAUUUAACAUGCUUACUUUGCUAUCAAAAGUUCUAUCUCGCGAAUGUCCCUUUGUCGUGGAUUGGCGGUGUUUUUCAUUAUCAUUCUAGUUUCUACUUUCUUAAUUUUUAUGAGUAAUCCAAUAACAUCUGCAAAUUUAGAAAACAAAAAUUUAAAUUAAAAAUAAUAUAAAAUAGAUAGAUAGAUUUUUAUAUUAUAAAAAAACAUAACGGUAAACUUACCGGAGCAUUGCUUAUCACUAUUUCUCCGCUCUAGCAGUAUAUCUCUAGAGGCAAACUCAAAAUAAUAGUCCUGAUACUCAUUUGAUUGUUCUUUCAAUUUCGUGACAUUUGUAUUGUAAAUGAAUACUAUUUUAAGUGUAUUCUUAACUGGACGGUACCUAGUGUCUUCUUGGACUUUGAAAUUGCUAAGUGCAUAGAUACAACCCUCGUUUAGCUUUGGUUUAAAACUGUUGAUCAGGUUCUUCUAUAUAGUAGCGUGAAUUGUUUCACCCUGUGAAACAAAUAUUAAUUUCGCAAUGAUCAGUAAAAUUAAUAACUAAAAGGAAAAUGACAUACCAAGGUGUUUUAAAUAUUAAGUGUUACAGCAAUACCUGAUCAUCCAUAAGAAUCAUAUCUAAGCUCAUAAGUUCCUCAGUUGCAAAAUUAAUUGACUCCCACAUUCUAAUCACUUUCACUUUAAUUUUCCAUGCUUGUCCACAUGUUGUCAACUGACUCAAUUUUUUUUAUGUCAUAGUGCGGAAUCCUGUGAAAAAAUGCAGAUAUGACAUAUAGGAUAUGAUAUGAUACUGUCUAUACUUACCAAUAUUUAGCUAUACUGUUGCAAAACUGAAUUUCAUAAUGCAUUCCCUCAGGAGUAAGAAUGUUAUCACUUGCACUUGUGUUCAUCUGAAGGAACUGAUAUGUUGCAAAACUGAAUUUCAAUAUGUUUGCGCUUAAUAGUUAGAAGAAUUCUAGGCAUUUAUAGGUGUACUAAUUGUACAAACACACUUUUGCUUUAUAUGCUAUUACAUGACCUCAGAGUGAAUGAAUGGAGAUCAAUUACAAAGGAAUGUUGAUGUUCAAAAAACAAUCAAAGGAACCUUAUGAGCGGCAAAACUGAAUUCCAUAAUGCAUGCCCUUAGGAGUAAGAAUAAUUGUAGGUAUCUAUGUGUUCACUAAUUGUAAAAGCAAAUUUUAACUUUAAAUGUUAUCACUUGCACUUGUGUUCAUCUGAAGUAACUGAUCUGUUGCAAAACUGAAUUUCAAUAUGUUUGCGCUUAAUAGUUAGAAGAAUUCUAGGCAUUUAUAGGUGUACUAAUUGUACAAACACACUUUUGUUUUAUAUGCUAUUACAUGACCUCUGAGUGAAUGAAUGGAGAUCAAUUACAAUGGAAUGCUGAUGUUCAAAAAACAAUCAAAGAACCUUAGGCCGCUAAGCGAUGGCAAUAUACAGCUAUGAGUAAUUAAACAUUGAAGUUGUCAAGUUACUACAAUGAUUAACAUAUGUUUCAGUGUCAGAAUGCUAAAGGCAAUAUACAUCUAUAAGUAAGUAAUUUUGUGUCUAAUUUUUGGUCAAAACUAAUUUCAGAGAAUUCAUCUUUUACUUAUUCAAAUAAACUUACCGAUCAACAGGCAGAAGCUGGAAGGCCACCAAACAAAUAAAAAGCCAACUGAUCAGGAUGCUAUACUAUAGCAGCCAGAUGAUGGUACAGCCAGGUUGAUUCCGAUGAAAAACUUGGACGGAGAACCAAUGAAAACCCAUCAAUGACUAAUGAGGGUCGACAAAGAUUACGAACCUAGCAAGAAACCUGCAGCACCAAUGCAGAUUGACGGAGAAAUAAAAGCAAUGCAGAAUUUCAUCAUAUCUUUUUUAAUAUAUAGGUCUCUGAACCAAACAUCCUUUGAACCAUAUAAUAGUCAGAAACCGAUUCGAAUA